GCGGUCGUAGUUUAGUGGCAGAAUGAUUGCUUCCCAAGCAAUAGGUGCGGGUCCGAUUCCCGCCGACCGCA
rnacentral:tRNA from 1 species